rnacentral:rRNA from 1 species
UACGUAGGGGGCUAGCGUUGUCCGGAUUUAUUGGGCGUAAAGAGCGUGUAGGCGGCCAUGUAGGUCCGGUGUGAAAACUCGAGGCUUAACCUCGAGAUGUCAUCGGAAACCAUUUGGCUAGAGUCCGGAAGAGGAGAGUGGAAUUCCUGGUGUAGCGGUGAAAUGCGCAGAUAUCGGGAGGAACACCAAUGGCGAAGGCAGCUCGCUGGGACGGUACUGACGCUGAGGCGCGAAAGCGUGGGGAGCAAACAGG